AUAGUUAGCUGGCAGCAGAGAUACCGUGAUCUUGAAGGUGCUUUCUCCAAUGGAACGUCUUGUCCGUUGCCUUCACGGCGUUCUGACCUCUGUGAUUUCCCUACUAGGGUGAAAUCGACUUCAGAAUUUCUGCUUGAUAAUCCCUAUAUAGUAAAAUGUCUAU
ensembl:snRNA U1 U1 spliceosomal RNA